UACGGAGGGGGCUAGCGUUGUUCGGAAUUACUGGGCGUAAAGCGCACGUAGGCGGCUUUGUAAGUUAGAGGUGAAAGCCCAGGGCUUAACUCCGGAAUUGCCUUUAAGACUGCAUCGCUAGAAUUGUGGAGAGGUAAGUGGAAUUCCGAGUGUAGAGGUGAAAUUCGUAGAUAUUCGGAAGAACACCAGUGGCGAAGGCGACUUACUGGACACAUAUUGACGCUGAGGUGCGAAAGCGUGGGGAGCAAACAGG
rnacentral:rRNA from 1 species